rnacentral:rRNA from 1 species
AUUGAACGCUGGCGGCAUGCCUUACACAUGCAAGUCGAACGGCAGCACGGACUUCGGUCUGGUGGCGAGUGGCGAACGGGUGAGUAAUAUAUCGGAACAUACCUUGUAGUGGGGGAUAACUAUCCGAAAGGAUAGCUAAUACCGCAUACGCUCUAAGGAGGAAAGCGGGGGAUCGUAAGACCUCGUGCUAUAAGAGUGGCCGAUAUCUGAUUAGCUAGUUGGUGAGGUAAAGGCUCACCAAGGCGACGAUCAGUAGCUGGUCUGAGAGGACGACCAGCCACACUGGAACUGAGACACGGUCCAGACUCCUACGGGGGGCAGCAGUGGGGAAUUUUGGACAAUGGGGCAACCCUGAUCCAGCAAUGCCGCGUGAGUGAAGAAGGCCUUCGGGUUGUAAAGCUCUUUUGUCAGGGAAGAAACGGUUGUGGCUAAUAUCCAUGGCUAAUGACGGUACCUGAAGAAUAAGCACCGGCUAACUACGUGCCAGCCGCCGCCGUAAGAC